AACGCGGGAAAUCUUACCGGGUCCGGACACACUGAGGAUUGACAGGCAAUAUUAAUACUUUGCUUCGGCAUUGUAUUAUGUUAAAUAUGCUAGUCCUUUCAUGAUUAUGUGAUAGGUGGUGCAUGGCCGUUCUUAGUUCGUGGAGUGAUCUGUCUGCUUAAUUGCGUUUCACUAAGGGCCUAUAAAUUUACGUAUGUUGUAUCGCACUUUGACCCCUUUCUUUAAUUAGAAAGCGCGUGUCUUAGWUUCGCUUUGCUCAUACAAUUAGGUCCUGAAAGCAACGAACGUGACCGCAACCUCUUGUUGCCUUUAUACCAAACAUGUUUAUUCAUUUUUUAAUGUUCAUUCAUGAAAAAAGGCUUUUUAAACUAGAGGGACCGCUGUUACUUUCUUAAACCAGAGGAAGGUUGCGGCAAUAACAGGUCUGUGAUGCCCUUAKAUGUUCCGGGCUGCACACGUGCUACAAUGAUUAUUGCAGUGAGCAUCUCAUUUUUACACACCGCAUGCGCGAGUCCAUUUAUUCACCUUCGGGUGUUUUAAAUGUGUACCUCUGCGCGCGGUAAAGCCUGCUUCGAAAGUAAGUGGGUAAUCAAUUAGAAGUAAUGAUUUCCUUUUUUAGCACMCAUAUAUACGGCGUCUAUGCCCGGGUUACCUUGUUGUAGCUUUUGUGUGUAUAGAUGUUUUUUCCGUAUGUGCGAUUGUCAAUUCAUGGUGGGGACAGACCAUUGUUAAUUGUUGGUCUCGGUCUUAACUAGGAAUGCCUUGUACGGGUCUUUGGUUCAACAAACCACCCGGAAUACGUCCCUGCCCUUUGUACACACCGCCCGUCGCUCUUACCGAUGGACUUCUCUGUGAGUUUGAGGGACUGGGAACGCAGGAAUUUAUUUCUGCACACCUAUGGAAACUUAAACGAACAGUGUGGUCUAAAGGAAAGAGAAGUCGAC
rnacentral:rRNA from 1 species